AGAGUUUGAUUCUGGCUCAGGAUGAACGCUAGCUACAGGCUUAACACAUGCAAGUCGAGGGGCAGCAUUCCAGUUUGCUUGCUAACUGGAGAUGGCGACCGGCGCACGGGUGAGUAACACGUAUCCAACCUGCCGAUAACUCGGGGAUAGCCUUUCGAAAGAAAGAUUAAUACCCGAUGGCAUAAUAGAACCGCAUGGUUUGAUUAUUAAAGAAUUUCGGUUAUCGAUGGGGAUGCGUUCCAUUAGGCAGUUGGUGGGGUAACGGCCCACCAAACCUUCGAUGGAUAGGGGUUCUGAGAGGAAGGUCCCCCACAUUGGAACUGAGACACGGUCCAAACUCCUACGGGAGGCAGCAGUGAGGAAUAUUGGUCAAUGGACGAGAGUCUGAACCAGCCAAGUAGCGUGAAGGAUGACUGCCCUAUGGGUUGUAAACUUCUUUUAUAUGGGAAUAAAGUGGUCCACGUGUGGAUUUUUGUAUGUACCAUAUGAAUAAGGAUCGGCUAACUCCGUGCCAGCAGCCGCGGUAAUACGGAGGAUCCGAGCGUUAUCCGGAUUUAUUGGGUUUAAAGGGAGCGUAGGUGGACAGUUAAGUCAGUUGUGAAAGUUUGCGGCUCAACCGUAAAAUUGCAGUUGAUACUGGCUGUCUUGAGUACAGUAGAGGUGGGCGGAAUUCGUGGUGUAGCGGUGAAAUGCUUAGAUAUCACGAAGAACUCCGAUUGCGAAGGCAGCUCACUGGACUGCAACUGACACUGAUGCUCGAAAGUGUGGGUAUCAAACAGGAUUAGAUACCCUGGUAGUCCACACAGUAAA
rnacentral:rRNA from 1 species